GGAGGUGGCCGAGAGGUUAAGGCUAUGCACUGCAAAUCCAGUGUGUUCUGGGAGGUAACGGGGAUGUAAGGUUAUACGGGUGACCUAGGUCGACAAGAGGUUAAGGCGAUGGACUGUUAAACGUGGGUUCGGAUCCCACCCUCGUCG